rnacentral:rRNA from 1 species
GCGUCGGGGUUAGUACCUGCGCUUCGAGCGGAUCUUCUUCUAUACUUGCUUUUGAAGAUCAGCGGCGGACGGGUGAGUAACACGUGGGCAACCUGCCUGUAAGACUGGGAUAACUUCGGGAAACCGGAGCUAAUACCGGAUAAUCCUUUUCCUCUCAUGAGGAAAAGCUGAAAGACGGUUUCUCCCGGUCCUUUACAAAGGGGCCCGGGGGCCAUUACUUAUUUGGGGAGGAAAGGGUUCCCCAAGGCAACAAUGCUUACCCAACCUGAAAGGGGGAUCGGCCCCUCGGGAAUGGAAACCCGGCCCAAACUCCUACGGAAGGCACCAUUAGGGAAUCUUCCGCAAUGGACGAAGGUCUGACGAACCACCCCCCCGGGAGCAAUGAAGGCCUUCGGGUCGUAAAGCUCUGUUGCCAGGAAAAAACAAUUUUCGAAUUACCGGCCGGUCCUUUGACGGUCCUGGACCAAAAGGCCCCGGUUAACUCCUGGCCACCACCCGCGGUAUUACUUAGGGGGCAAGCGUGGUCCGGAUUAAUUGGGGGUAAAGCGCGCGCAGGCGGUUCUUUAAUUCUGAUGUGAAACCCCCCGGUUCACCCGGGAAGGGUCUUUGAAAACNGGGAAACUUGAUGGCAAAAAAGAAGAGCGGAAUUCCCCGUGUACCGGUGAAUUGCGUAGAGAUGUGGAGGACCCCCAGUGGCAAAGGCGGUUCUCUGNCUUGUAACUGACGCUAAGGCGCGAAAGCGUGGGRAGCGAACAGGAUUAAAUACCCUGGUAGUCCACGCCGUAAACGAUGAGUGCUAAGUGUUAGAGAGGUUUCGCCCUUUAAUGCUGCAGCAAACGCAUUAACCACUCCGCCUGGGGAGUACGGCCGCAAGGCUUGAACUCAAGGGAAUUGACGGGCGCCCGCGCCAGCGUUGGAGCAUGUGGUUUGAUAUCGAGCACCGAGAAGAACUACAGUUGAUCCUGAAAUCCCUAAAAGCUCCUCGGAAUGCGGCGUUCCCCUUCGGGGGACAGAGUGACAGGUGGUGCAUGGUUGUCGUCAGCUCGUGUCGUGAGAUGUUGGGUUAAGUCCCGCAACGAGCGCAACCCUUGAUCUUAGUUGCCAGCAUUCAGUUGGGCACUCUAAGGUGACUGCCGGUGACAAACCGGAGGAAGGUGGGGAUGACGUCAAAUCAUCAUGCCCCUUAUGACCUGGGCUACACACGUGCUACAAUGGAUGGAACAAAGGGCAGCGAAGCCGCGAGGUGAAGCCAAUCCCAUAAAACCAUUCUCAGUUCGGAUUGCAGGCUGCAACUCGCCUGCAUGAAGCCGGAAUCGCUAGUAAUCGCGGAUCAGCAUGCCGCGGUGAAUACGUUCCCGGGCCUUGUACACACCGCCCGUCACACCACGAGAGUUUGUAACACCCGAAGUCGGUGGGGUAACC